AUGAGGAGAUGGAGGAGGUCCAACAAUCUGAUGCGUAGUUUUUUUCAAAAAUAGUAAACCAUAGUGCAAUUAGGGCGAAUAUUGCUUGUUUGUUAUUAUGUAUUAUGAAUGAAGAAGAAUAUUAAGAGAGUAGUUGUUCUUUUUAUUUUCAUUCCUCGUUCAAUUUGCAUUCCAUAUUCUUUGCAAUUCC
rnacentral:ribozyme from 13 species